UUCUAUGCAAAUUAUUCAUGCAGUGGGACAGCUAAUCGCCUGCCAAGAGCCCGCCCACUGCCUCUCUGCAAUUAGUCGUGAAGUUGAAGGAGCUCCAAACUCCGCAGGCGCACUCAGGGCCUCCUGCUCCUAUGGCUGGUUUUCAGACUAUAAACCCCACAUGGAGAAGGACCCUGUCUGCCUUCUCCACUGGGAUUUCCAUUCCCCGGCACCUGCCGCCAUGGCUGGCACAUAGCAGGCUGGUUUCCUGACUGACUGGAUGCUGGUGCACUGGGGCCUGCCUCACCGAUAAAACCCCGGCCCAGGGAUUGGCGGAACUGCCCAUGUCAGAUCGCUGCUCCAGCCUGCACUGCCUCUGAUGACAUCAUCUGGAACUGCUCAUUCCACCCAGCAUUCCGCAGAAGCCAGGCCCAGCAACAGGCUCAUUUGGGAUGCGCUACAAGGGACACAAGCGUCCAAGUCACUUACUCUUCCUCCUCGUCUCUCCUUCUCUUACCCAAGGACCACCUUCUCAGCAGGGGGAUGGGCCAUAGAGAGAAACAGGGGCAAAGUGGGGGGUCUAGAGGAUUAUUCAUGGGUACCAUCUGCCUGUGAGCUCCCAGGCCCUUCCCCAUACAAGGGCUGUCUCUAGGUGUCAGUUUCACAUGGGAAUUACCUGAUUGGAACCUGGAGUCAGACCAGGCCUGAGUUCAGAUCCAGUCCUAUUACUUACUGAAGUAAUUACUUUGAGCCUCAGUUUCUUCAGCUGUAAAAUGGGGAUGAUGACGAUAAUCUCACCUCCCUCACAGAGUUACUGGGCACUGUUUUUAUUUAUGAAAGCCUGCUUCAUUUGUCUGCCUGGCUGUUUUCCCCCACCAGUCCCAGGGCGCCGUGCCCUUUCCAGGGAGCACGCACUGAGGCCCAGAAACAGCCCGUGGGGUGCGGCAAGAGGCUGCUAUGGGGAGCCCAGGCCUCCUGCAAGAGGGCCCCAGGCCUCAGAAGCGGCAGGCCUGAUGCGGGUUGUAUCAAGUCAAUGCUCCGGCAGCAGCUACAUGUUCUGGCGUUUACCACGAGCCAGCUGCAGUUGUGAGUAGGUGCCAUGUGACGACUCAUCUAAUGCUCAGGGCAGUCCUGAGGGUAGGUGCUAUCUGCACCCUUCUUGGAAAGAUGAAGAAACUCCUCACCUGUAAGAUGAGAGUGAAGUGAGCAGCUCAAGGCCAUGCAGCUGCCAGGCAGAGGAGCUAUGGUCUGAACCCGACUAAUCUGGCUCCUGGGCCACAUGCCACCACUGUGCCACACUGUCCUUUGCCGCCACAGCCGUCCUCACUCCACCCCUCCCCUGUAGAUUCUUCCCAGACCUGUUGCCCAUUCCCUCUGCUCUCCUACCUUGUCUCAUCUCUUCCCAUCUGUUUCUCUCUCUCAAUCUCCCCUCUUUCCUUCCUUCCCCCCUCUCUUACUCUCUCCCAUCUUUCCCUCUCUGUUCCUCUACCUCAGGUAACUGUGCCACCUCAGAUAGGGAGGGGGGCAGAAGUAGGGGGCCCUGGGUCACUCUGAAGAGCCCUGAGACCCCCAUGGGGAGGGCCCCAUAUUAUCUAAGUGCAACAGGGAGACCUGUUACAAGAGGUGUGGCCUGGGAACUGCCUCUAUCCCUUAGCACCUCCAGACUCCGAAAGACAGAACUGCAGUUGCCAGAACCGUAGGAAACCAUAGGUCCCAAUGGGGUUCCCCACUCUCACAGAGCAGACUCGGGAGGUAAGAGUGUAAAUCAAGCCCCAGGCAGGAGUCCCUGGACCAGUUCCUCUCCGGAAUCUAGUUGUAUCCCCAGAUAAGGCAGGGGACCGAAGGAAUAGAGACCCCAAUCCUGUGCCACAGGCAGCCAAAGGGCUCCUGAGCCCCUCAGGGGCUCAUGCUUUUCCUGCAGAGGCCACAAGGUCUGCAAAACCCAAUGCCAAGGGGAUAGUCUGGAGAAAGGGCUGUUGGAUUGGGCUCAGAGCAUGUAAGCUCAGAGAAGAGGGGUCCAGGCGGCACCCACUGGAAACCUUGGGUAGGUGUGCAGCCUGGGGCUCAAGAGGGGAAGAAACUGGUGUUUGGAGGAAGCCAGCAGCACAGAGGAUUUUCACAUUUCAUAAAGGGGAAGGAUGGUGCUCUAGAAUAAAAACCACUUUGGAGAGUCCAAAAUAUUUGAAUCCAAGUCUGUUUUCCUUCACUGGAAAUAGGCUUUACAAGCUAAUCUCUCUCUGAGCUGCAGGUUUCCUUUUUCCCUUAAACCUGCCCUUGACGCCCCCCCCCCUUUCUCUUCCUGCUAUGGAAGUUCCAUAGUAAAGCGUCUUUCGCCUCUG